AUUGAACGCUGGCGGCAGGCCUAACACAUGCAAGUCGAACGAGUGGCGGACGGGUGAGUAAUGUCUGGGAAACUGCCCGAUGGAGGGGGAUAACUACUGGAAACGGUAGCUAAUACCGCAUACCAUCGGAUGUGCCCAGAUGGGAUUAGCUAGUAGGUGGGGUAACGGCUCACCUAGGCGACGAUCCCUAGCUGGUCUGAGGGGAUGACCAGCCACACUGGAAGUGAGACACGGUCCGGCCUCCUACGGUAGGCAGCAGUGGGUAAUAUUGAACAGUGGGCGCAAGCCUGAUGCAGCCAUGCCGGGUGGAUGAAGAAGGCCUUCGGGUUGUAAAGUACUUUCAGCGAGUAGGCGUAACUCGAAGAAGAGGCACCGGCUAACUCCGUGCAAGCAGCCGAGGUAAUA
rnacentral:rRNA from 1 species